rnacentral:tRNA from 1 species
GGGCGCAUAGCUCAGAUGGUAGAGCAGCUGACUCUUAAUCAGCGGGUCCCAGGUUCGAGUCCUGGUGCGCCCACCA